rnacentral:rRNA from 1 species
CGAAGCAACGCGAAGAACCUUACCAGGUCUUGACAUCCCGAUGCUAUUUCUAGAGAUAGAAAGUUACUUCGGUACAUCGGUGACAGGUGGUGCAUGGUUGUCGUCAGCUCGUGUCGUGAGAUGUUGGGUUAAGUCCCGCAACGAGCGCAACCCCUAUUGUUAGUUGCCAUCAUUCAGUUGGGCACUCUAGCGAGACUGCCGGUAAUAAACCGGAGGAAGGUGGGAUGACGUCAAAUCAUCAUGCCCCUUAUGACCUGGGCUACACACGUGCUACAAUGGUUGGUACAACGAGUUGCGAGUCGGUGACGGCGAGCUAAUCUCUUAAAGCCAAUCUCAGUUCGGAUUGUAGGCUGCAACUCGCCUACAUGAAGUUGGAAUCGCUAGUAAUCGCGGAUCAGCACGCCGCGGUGAAUACGUUCCCGGGCCUUGU